UCCGGCCAUAUCACGUUGAAACACCGGUUCCCAUUAGGUCAUCGAAGUUAUGUAUCAUCGAGCCUGGUCGGUAAGUAGAUGCGUGAGCGCUUGGGAACACCAAGUGCUGUAA